rnacentral:tRNA from 1 species
GAAUAGCUCAAUUGUUCGAAAGUUCGACCUUCGAAGCACAAGGUAGGCGGUUCGAAUCCUCCCG